GAUGAACGCUGGCGGCGUGCCUAAUACAUGCAAGUCGAGCGAACGGACGAGAAGCUUGCUUCUCUGAUGUUAGCGGCGGACGGGUGAGUAACACGUGGAUAACCUACCUAUAAGACUGGGAUAACUUCGGGAAACCGGAGCUAAUACCGGAUGAUAUUUUGAACCGCAUGGUUCAAAAGUGAAAGACGGUCUUGCUGUCACUUAUAGAUGGAUCCGCGCUGCAUUAGCUAGUUGGUAAGGUAACGGCUUACCAAGGCAACGAUGCAUAGCCGACCUGAGAGGGUGAUCGGCCACACUGGAACUGAGACACGGUCCAGACUCCUACGGGAGGCAGCAGUGGGGAAUCUUCCGCAAUGGGCGAAAGCCUGACGGAGCAACGCCGCGUGAGUGAUGAAGGUCUUCGGAUCGUAAAACUCUGUUAUUAGGUAAGAACAUAUGUGUAAGUAACUGUGCACAUCUUGACGGUACCUAAUCAGAAAGCCACGGCUAACUACGUG
rnacentral:rRNA from 1 species